rnacentral:tRNA from 2 species
GGCGUAGCUCAGUUGGUAGAGCCCUGGAUUGUGAUUCCAGUCGUCGUGGGUUCGAGUCCCAUCGUC